rnacentral:rRNA from 1 species
CGUAGGGGCUAGCGUUGUCCGGAAUCAUUGGGCGUAAAGCGCGUGUAGGCGGUCCGGUAAGUCCGCUGUGAAAGUCGGGGGCUCAACCCUCGAAUGCCGGUGGAUACUGUCGGGCUAGAGUGCGGAAGAGGCGAGUGGAAUUCCUGGUGUAGCGGUGAAAUGCGCAGAUAUCAGGAGGAACACCAAUUGCGAAGGCAGCUCGCUGGGACGUUACUGACGCUGAGACGCGAAAGCGUGGGAGCAAACAGGAUU